rnacentral:rRNA from 1 species
CCUACGGGUGGCAGCAGUGGGGAAUAUUGGACAAUGGGGGGAACCCUGAUCCAGCCAUGCCGCGUGUGUGAAGAAGGCCCUCGGGUUGUAAAGCACUUUCAGUGAGGAAGAACGCCUGGUGGUUAAUACCCAUCAGGAAAGACAUCACUCACAGAAGAAGCACCGGCUAACUCCGUGCCAGCAGCCGCGGUAAUACGGAGGGUGCGAGCGUUAAUCGGAAUUACUGGGCGUAAAGCGCGCGUAGGUGGCUUGAUAAGCCGGUUGGUGAAAGCCCCGGGCUCAACCUGGGAACGGCAUCCGGAACUGUCAAGCUAGAGUGCAGGAGAGGAAGGUAGAAUUCCCGGUGUAGCGGUGAAAUGCGUAGAGAUCGGGAGGAAUACCAGUGGCGAAGGCGGCCUUCUGGACUGACACUGACACUGAGGUGCGAAAGCGUGGGUAGCAAACAGGAUUAGAUACCCUUGUAGUC